rnacentral:rRNA from 1 species
AUUGCCCUAGUAACGGCGAGUGAAGCGGCAACAGCUCAAAUUUGAAAUCUGGCCCUCGGGUCCGAGUUGUAAUUUGUAGAGGAUGCUUUUGGCGCGGUGCCUUCCGAGUUCCCUGGAACGGGACGCCUUAGAGGGUGAGAGCCCCGUAUGGUUGGACACCAAGCCUCUGUAUAGCUCCUUCGACGAGUCGAGUAGUUUGGGAAUGCUGCUCUAAAUGGGAGGUAAAUUUCUUCUAAAGCUAAAUAUUGGCCAGAGACCGAUAGCGCACAAGUAGAGUGAUCGAAAGAUGAAAAGCACUUUGAAAAGAGGGUUAAAUAGCACGUGAAAUUGUUGAAAGGGAAGCGUUUGCGACCAGACCUUUUCCUAGCGGAUCAGCCGGUGUUCUCACCGGUGCACUUCGCUAGGUCUAGGCCAGCAUCGGUUUCCGUAGGGGGAUAAAAGCCCUGGGAACGUAGCUCCUCCGGGAGUGUUAUAGCCCUCUGCAUAAUACCCUUACGGGGACCGAGGACCGCGCUUCGGCAAGGAUGCUGGCGUAAUGGUCGUCAACGACCCGUCUUGAAACACGGACCAAGGAGUCGAACAUUUGUGCGAGUGUUUGGGUGUUAAACCCUCACGCGUAAUGAAAGUGAACGGAGGUGAGAGCCCUUACGGGUGCAUCAUCGACCGAUCCUGAUGUCUUCGGAUGGAUUUGAGUAAGAGCAUAACUGUUCGGACCCGAAAGAUGGUGAACUAUGCGUGGAUAGGGUGAAGCCAGAGGAAACUCUGGUGGAGGCUCGCAGCGGUUCUGACGUGCAAAUCGAUCGUCAAAUCUGCGCAUGGGGGCGAAAGACUUAUCGAACCAUCUAGUAGCUGGUUACCGCCGAAGUUUCCCUCAGGAUAGCAGUGUUGUUCUUCAGUUUUAUGAGGUAAAGCGAAUGAUUAGGGACUCGGGGGCGCUUUUUUGCCUUCAUCCAUUCUCAAACUUUAAAUAUGUAAGAAGCCCUUGUUACUUAAUUGAACGUGGGCAUUCGAAUGUACCAACACUAGUGGGCCAUUUUUGGUAAGCAGAACUGGCGAUGCGGGAUGAACCGAACGCGGGGUUAAGGUGCCGGAGUGGACGCUCAUCAGACACCACAAAAGGUGUUAGCACAUUUAGACAAUAGGACGGUGGCCAUGGAAGUCGGAAUCCGCUAAGGACUGUGUAACAACUCACCUAUCGAAUGUGCUAGCCCUGAAAAUGGAUGGCGCUCAAGCGUCCCACCCAUACCUCGCCCUCAGGGUAGAAACGAUGCCCUGAGGAGUAGGCGGCCGUGGGGGUUAGUGACGAAGCCUA